rnacentral:rRNA from 1 species
CCUACGGGUGGCAGCAGUGGGGAAUAUUGCACAAUGGGGGGAACCCUGAUGCAGCGACGCCGCGUGGGUGAGGAAGUACUUCGGUAUGUAAAGCCCUAUCAGCAGGGAAGAAAAUGACGGUACCUGACUAAGAAGCCCCGGCUAACUACGUGCCAGCAGCCGCGGUAAUACGUAGGGGGCAAGCGUUAUCCGGAUUUACUGGGUGUAAAGGGAGCGUAGACGGCGUGCCAAGUCUGAUGUGAAAGGCCGGGGCUCAACCCCGGGACUGCAUUGGAAACUGGCAUGCUAGAGUGCAGGAGAGGUAAGUGGAAUUCCUAGUGUAGCGGUGAAAUGCGUAGAUAUUAGGAGGAACACCAGUGGCGAAGGCGGCUUACUGGACUGUAACUGACGUUGAGGCUCGAAAGCGUGGGGAGCAAACAGGAUUAGAUACCCUUGUAGUC